GACGUAGGGUGCAAGCGUUGUCCGGAAUUAUUGGGCGUAAAGAGCUCGUAGGCGGUCUGUCGCGUCGGCUGUGAAAACUCGGGGCUCAACCCCGAGCCUGCAGUCGAUACGGGCAGACUAGAGUGCUGUAGGGGAGGCUGGAAUUCCUGGUGUAGCGGUGAAAUGCGCGGAUAUCAGGAGGAACACCAAUGGCGAAGGCAGACCUCUGGGCCGUAACUGACGCUGAGACGCGAAAGCAUGGGGAGCGAACAGG
rnacentral:rRNA from 1 species